rnacentral:rRNA from 1 species
UACGGAGGGGGUUAGCGUUGUUCGGAAUGACUGGGCGUAAAGCGCGCGUAGGCGGACCUGCAAGUCGGGGGGUGAAAGCCCGAGGCUCAACCUCGGAACUGCCUUCGAUACUGCGGGUCUCGAGUCCGGGAGAGGUGAGUGGAAUUCCUAGUGUAGAGGUGAAAUUCGUAGAUAUUAGGAAGAACACCAGUGGCGAAGGCGGCUCACUGGCCCGGUACUGACGCUGAGGCGCGAAAGCGUGGGGAGCAAACAGG